rnacentral:lncRNA from 1 species
ACACCCACGGCGGCCGCUUUGUAGUCCUACAGCAAACGCAACGCCCACGUUUCUCCAGCUAGCUAUCCGCUGCAUGCAAACGAUCAGCCCGGCCAUGCACGCUACACGCACUACGCGCUUGACGCGGCCAUCUCCACCGGCCGCUGCUAACAACCUGCUAAACACCGCAACUAAUACAUGCAUGCAUGCCCAUCUAGCUAGCUCACGUGCUGACCACCAAGCCACGCAUACCACGAGCACACACGCACACCCAUGCACACAGAUCACACACACGAGCACAUACUCAUGCGUGGCUUAUUUCUAACAUUCUCCACUCUAAGCCACGACCUCGCCGCCCAUCCUGACAGGACUCCGGCCUCUCAUCGACUGCCACGGAGAACGCCCUUCUUCAUCUCCGGCGACACACGCCGCAGCUUCUCUUCCUGGCGCACCAACGGCCUUGAUUCCCUCGAGCUCGAACUCGACUUCGGACACUGCCAUUACAACGUACACGGCGGGUUUUAUACAUAGGGACACGCCGGGCAUGCACCCACGUCCCAACCCACGUCGAGCGCCCGUCCCGCCCGCUCUGCCCACACCACCUCCGACAUGCACGCACAUGUCUGGGCGCGGCGAGCCCGCGAUGGACCAGCUCAACGCGCACACCCCCGCUCGCCAAUGGCCACCCUACACCACGGUCGCGCCGCGCCUGACACGCCCGGCGCGCGCCCAUACACGCGCCUGACACAUCCGACACGAGCGCCGCGGCUCUGUGCCACGCGGCUCCACCAUUGUCGCGGCGAGCCGCCACGACGCACUCACCACGCCGUCGUCGUCGUUGAAGCCGCCACCACGCAAGUCCUCCGCGUCCUCUUCACCGUGCCACCGCAGCCACCGCGGCCUCCUCGCCACGCCAUGCAUCUCCAUAGGCCGACACACGGCCCGGAGCAUCGCGCAGCCGCCGGCGAACUCCGCCACCGCCGGCACGCCUCCGGCAAGAAGAAUGACGCCCAAGAUGAACCAACUCAUGAUACCAAAUGUUGAAACCGCAGCCCUCGCUCACUAUCAGCUAGAGGUAGAAGAAGACACAAGACACAAGUAAUUCCGGGCCGGCGCACGAACACCGCCGUGGGCGCACGCACGCCCUAAUCUUCUUUAUCUUUUGAAUGGCUACAUCGCUGGCUCUAAACUGGAGGAGCACACCCAUGGCGGCUGCUUUGUAGUCCUACAGCAAACGCAACGCCCACGUUUCUUCAGCUAGCUAUCCGCUGCAUGCAAACGAUCAGCCCGGCCAUGCACGCUACACGCACUACGCACUUGACGCGGCCAUCUCCACUGGCCGCUGCUAACAACCUGCUAAACACCGCAACUAAUACAUGCAUGCAUGCCCAUCUAGCUAGCUCACAUGCUGACCACCAUGCCACGCAUACCAUGAGCACACACGCACACCCAUGCACACAGAUCACACACACGAG